UUUAACUGAAGAGUUUGAUCAUGGCUCAGAUUGAACGCUGGCGGCAGGCUUAACACAUGCAAGUCGAGCGGGGGAAGGUAGCUUGCUACCGGACCUAGCGGCGGACGGGUGAGUAAUGCUUAGGAAUCUGCCUAUUAGUGGGGGACAACAUCUCGAAAGGGAUGCUAAUACCGCAUACGUCCUACGGGAGAAAGCAGGGGAUCUUCGGACCUUGCGCUAAUAGAUGAGCCUAAGUCGGAUUAGCUAGUUGGUGGGGUAAAGGCCUACCAAGGCGACGAUCUGUAGCGGGUCUGAGAGGAUGAUCCGCCACACUGGGACUGAGACACGGCCCAGACUCCUACGGGAGGCAGCAGUGGGGAAUAUUGGACAAUGGGGGGAACCCUGAUCCAGCCAUGCCGCGUGUGUGAAGAAGGCCUUAUGGUUGUAAAGCACUUUAAGCGAGGAGGAGGCUACUUUAGUUAAUACCUAGAGAUAGUGGACGUUACUCGCAGAAUAAGC
rnacentral:rRNA from 1 species